GACGAACGCUGGCGGCGUGCCUAAUACAUGCAAGUCGAGCGAAGCGGCGGAUGGGUGAGUAAUGGGUGGGUAACCUGUCCUUAAGUCUGGGAUACCAGUUGGAAACAGAUGCUAAUACCGGAUACGAAAGGAUGGACCUGCGAUUCAUUAGCUCGUUGGGAAGGUAACGGCUUACCAGGGCGACGAUGCGUAGCCGAGUGGAGUGGCUGAUCGGGCACAUUGGGACUGAGACACGGCCCAAACUCCUACGGGAGGCAGCAGUAGGGAAUCUUCCACAAUGGACGAAAGUCUGACGGAGCAACGCCGCGUGAGUGAAGAAGGUUUGCGGAUCGUAAAACUCUGUUGUUAGAGAAGCGGUAUCUAACCAGAAAGCCACGGCUAACUACGUGCCAGCCGCCGCGGUAAUUC
rnacentral:rRNA from 1 species